CAGUAGCCACGGUAAUACGAAGGGGGCUAGCGUUGCUCGGAAUUACUGGGCGUAAAGGGCGCGUAGGCGGACAGUUCAGCCGGGGGUGAAAGCCCGGGGCUCAACCUCGGAAUUGCCUUCGAUACUGGCUGUCUUGAGUAUGAGAGAGGUGUGUGGAACUCCGAGUGUAGAGGUGAAAUUCGUAGAUAUUCGGAAGAACACCAGUGGCGAAGGCGACACACUGGCUCAUUACUGACGCUGAGGCGCGAAAGCGUGGGGAGCAAACAGGAUUAGAGACCCCUGUAGUCCCUGUCUCUUAUAA
rnacentral:rRNA from 1 species